GACGAUGAGAGGGUAACGAGAAUUAGUAUGAUAAAAAAAAAAAAAAAAAAUCAUUCGAAAAGAGACUGUCAACGGGCAUAAAACUAACUGUGGAUCUCAUUAAGUGGCAGUGGGAUUUGCAUACGGUUAACAAUCCGUUACAUUUUCCCUCCACAUAGAAGUCUAUUUAUGUUUUGCACACUGAAAGAUUAUUAUAGCAACAUCGACUCUUCAUCUUGUUCUUCGUACAUUUCUCUGAUAUAUCCUCUUUGCAAAAAAAUGGAGUAAGACGAAGACCCAGUAGCGCUCGACUUGAGCCUUGGCAACUGGCAAGAACCCGAAGGUUGCAACGAAGAAUUCUCAUAGAACCUCCAAGACUCGGCGUCCGAGUCCCUAUGCCCCGACUCUGUCGCUGUUAUAAUGGCCAAUAUAAUGGAAAACGAGGUCUGCUUCGACACCGUCAGUGAUCACGAAAUGCUGGGCCUUGUCUGAGAGGCAGAGCCCUUCAACGACCUGGCCGUCGGGAUCCUCAACAUCCGCUCCCAACUAGUCGGUUACCUCGAGUGCGGCGAGUAACAUUCUCCACAUUCCUUGUCAGAUUGAGGUAUUCUCGAAUUUAGAGGAUAAAUCUUCCGUUAAAAUGGCGAUUGCACGAGGUGGGUUGAACUUGAUUAGAGAUGGGAACCAAGUCAACACAUAAGAUUAUGUUUUCGACUAUGAGCAUGAAGGGUCCGCUGGAAGCGUUGGGUUUGCCUGAAGAUGCGAUCAAAUCGGAGCUCUUUGUGCAACAGAAGUAGGGGUUGGAACUUGGGGUGGUUGGUUCAUACGGAGAAUUCGGACGAAUUACCAUCCUUUAGGGAUCAGGAGAAAGAAGGGUUUCGUGUAAAGCUUUUGACCAACACCAUACGAAUGUGCGGCCAGAACCUCUGCGCGGUGGGGUGUUUGGGGACGAUAUUGAAUUGGGCAAGACUAACUUUGCUCCCUUUGAAUGCUCUUGAUAAAUGUGGUAGUGCUCUUGCUUCCGCCGAUGCUAGUGUAGAUGUGGAAACUUCAGAUGAAAUGGGUGAGGAGGAAGGUGGAGGUGGUAGUGAAAGAGUAAGAGGGGAAGAACCAGCAAGAUGAAUUGUUCAGGGCCGCAGAAAAAAGGUAAAAAUAGUGGUAUCGAUACAAAUUUGGAGAGGACAAGUUUGGUCGUUUGCCCAUCUUCUGGGCUUUCGACCAGGGAAAGACAACUCAGGGAACCCGUUAAUCCCAGAAAUCUAAAAGCAUACCUGUAAGAAGGCAAUCGGACAAGAGAUGUUGGGCUGCUCCGAAGAUACAACAUUGUAUUAACAUCCCAUAGCACACUAGUUUCCGAACAUUAUUGGGCGGAGGAGUACCCUAUGAAGAAGAAGAUUGGGUGUUGGCAAGUCGUUGUGGAUGAGGCACAAAAUAUACUGAACGUGGAUGCUCAACAAAGUGAAGCCAUCGCUAGUUUAAUGGCCAAGCGGAAGUGGGUUGUUAUAGGAAUGCCCAUUCUUAAUGGCUCAUUUGAUUUGUUUUCUUUUAUGGCAUUCCUGCGCUCUGAGCCAUUUUCAGUUUAGACUUAUUGGCAAAGCUUGGUGCACCGUCCACUUAAUCAGAGAAACCCAAAGGGUCUUUCACGUCUGCAGAUAAUAUCAUGUUGCAGGUCUUGUUCUUAUAGUACUAAUGGGUGAAAGGGACGUUAACGUUACAACGUUAUUGAAUUAGGCAUGCUAUUAGACUUGAAAAUUUGUGGUUCUUUAUGGCUAAAUGCUUUUAAUUAUUCCUGAACAUAUUUGUCGCCUGAUUCUUUGUUUCUUUGCAUUGCUAAUUGAUUGAUUAUGGAUCCUCUUCCCCACCGCAGUUGCUCGUUGGAUGCAGUUGCAUAGAUUAGAAAGAGUUUCGUUGGCUAAAUGCUUUUCUCUUGGAUUAAAGGGGGAAAUGUUGGGAGUCUUUUCAUUCUCUGUUUGAAGAUUGUGAAUUCUUGGGUUGUUUCAGCUUUUCUAAUUAGUUACGCUAUUGGAGCCCACUAUUAAACUUGGAGGACGACCGAUGGAGCCUCAAUUUAUUACUAGCCCUUACUUAAUAGCAGAGAAAUACCAUGACAAAGCCCCAACUAACAAUCCUCAUCAUUUACAACGUAAAUAUGGAAGGCCGAAUUUAUCAAGUCGCAACAUCCCCCCUUUCAUUCGCAAGGAAACUGGAAAGUCAUGAAUCUCCAAGAUAUCAAUUGAUUGCCCCUGAUCUCCAAUUUUUGCUAAUCCACCUGCCAUGUGACUGAUUUCAUGGUAUGCAUGAUGUACCUGAAUAACCACGUGGUUGGCAAAGGCCUUUGCUUGAUCCCACGCGUCCCUCACUGUCCAGAUAACCUCAGAAUCGUAUUGCCACCAUGAACAAAUCAACUUGGAGUCGGAUUCCACUUCCACAUCAUAAAGAUUUAGCUGCCUGCAAAGUUUCAGACCAUCUACUAGAUCGAAGGCUUUUGCUUCUGAGUUGGACCGAGUCCCCUAGUGCCUAUAGAAAGCAGCCACAAACUUUCCAUUCCCCUCUCUGAUAAUCCCUCCUCCUCCACUCGGGUAUGGAUUCCCACAACUGCUCCCAUCCAUGUUCAGCUUAACAUAGCCUCUGGUGGGUCUUAGCCCCUUCAGAAUAAGAUACUUCGGUCUUUUAGUAGGCAGCGAAGUUAUUCCUAAUUGCUGCUAUACUUAUGGAUCAGAUCGUUUUAUGAAAGACAGAUCGUGCUUUUCCAUCAAUUGCACAGCCAGGAAGCUCUUAAUCUUGAAGACAAUGGCCGACCCUGAUUCCACCAUACCCUCCAUGCGUGCAUUGCAAUGCCUAAUACACAAGAACCAGUUAAUAAGGGAAGGGAGAAGCCCAAUCAUUAAGUUGAAUUGGGAUUGCUGACUAAUGAUUUUCCAGCUCAUGGGAGAGGGGAACAUGCUAUAGUCUCAUGAUGCAUGAACAAUAAACAAUAUUAGGAAACAAAAAAAUCUUUGGACUGAGAUUGAAGGAACAAGAUACAUAUCCAGCCAUGGUAACUAUCACAUAACCAUGGCAUGGGCAGAAUGUGAAUAUGAUUUCUGAUUCAUCUUUAUAUAGGUUUCCAUUUAAAAUCGGGUUUCAAUGGCAACCAUUUUGUUGCCGAGAACAAGAGAGAUGGGACUGAAAAGGUUGAAGAGAGAGCUAAGAUUGUUUUCCAGUCAUAUUGCUGCGGGUAGGCGAAGCUACAAUAACUCAGCUGUGCUUAGUCUACUUCUACAAGUUCGACAGAUUUGUAUUUGCCCUUCAGAUAUGAAAUUAUUUCUCUCUUUCCAAGUUUUUUAGGUACCGGAAAAAAUAUAUUUACUUCAUUUUUUUCCUUCCCUGUUUAUUUUCAACUUACACAAUUACCAGUUGCGUCUCUCCAUCCUAGAUUUCAUAUUCCCUUCAGGACGUGGUUUUCUGUUGUCUACUUCUUGCAAUAGAGGCGGUGUUUUUCCUGUUGAUAUGUUAAAGUUCUGGGACUAGAGGGAACUCUUUAGAGUUGACAUCAGCCAGAAAUGAGAAAACCCCAACUUUUGGGUGCCUCUUCGCAGAACCUGGGCUAUUCUAGUUGAGUUCUUGGAGAUGGGAUAUGCCAGGCUUUUUGAAUGGGCUUGAAGAAUUGAAGGGAGAUUGGUUUUAUAUGAUCUCAGUUUCCUCGUGUUGCCGUGAGCAUGCAUAUGUACAUACAAUGUAUGUGCAGUAAGGAAUAUAUUAAUUACAUUUUGGCUUUUAUACAGAGCCAAAUCUAGUUUGGAUUUUCUCAAAAAACAAAAAUGUAGUUUGGAUUACUCAUAUUUAAUAUAUGGGAUAGAUUUUUUA